GAUGAACGCUGGCGGCGUGCUUAACACAUGCAAGUCGAGCGGUAAGGCCCUUUCGGGGGUACACGAGCGGCGAACGGGUGAGUAACACGUGGGUGACCUGCCCUCAGCUCUGGGAUAAGCCUGGGAAACCGGGUCUAAUACCGGAUAUGACUCCAUGACGCAUGUUGUGGGGUGGAAAGCCUUGUGCGGCUGAGGAUGGGCCCGCGGCCUAUCAGCUUGUUGGUGGGGUGANGGCCUACCAAGGCGACGACGGGUAGCCGGCCUGAGAGGGCGACCGGCCACACUGGGACUGAGACACGGCCCAGACUCCUACGGGAGGCAGCAGUGGGGAAUCUUGCGCAAUGGGCGAAAGCCUGACGCAGCAACGCCGCGUGAGGGAAGAAGGCUUUCGGGUUGUAAACCUCUUUCAGG
rnacentral:rRNA from 1 species